CGGAUCGCAGGCUGCAACCCGCCUGCGUGAAGUUGGAAUUGCUAGUAAUCGCGGAUCAGCAUGCCGCGGUGAAUACGUUCCCGGGCCUUGUACACACCGCCCGUCACACCAUGGGAGCCGGUAAUACCCGAAGUCAGUAGUCCAACCACGUGAGGACGCUGCCGAAGGUAGGAUUGGCGACUGGGGUGAAGUCGUAACAAGGUAUC
rnacentral:rRNA from 1 species